rnacentral:lncRNA from 1 species
AGGAAGCAGCUCUGAAUAUGGUUCCCUUAGAUGAACAUAAGGAGAAUGCGCUUAUUUCACUGGCCAAGGUUUGUGUUUCUGCCUCGGCUUUCUAUUGGUUAUAAGUCUUCUUUUCGUCCUGAUGUUCUCAAUAUUUCUAGAUAACCAUGUUUUGUUGGACUUAUUGAUAAAGUAAAUUUUCGGGUACAAGUUUGGCUCCAAGGAAAGUUAUUGUAUUUACUAAUUUUUUUUUAAUUUAACACCAUGACUAUGCCUCAAUAUUACAAUUGUCGUAAUGGUGUGGAUUGCUAUAUAAAGUUCUAUGUUUGAAGGGAUGUGUUGUCAGAAAUUCUCAUACACGAUUCUUUAGUAGGAAGAGAAUUUCAGUCCUUCAAAAGUGAAGAGGAUCAUGCCUUUCUGUUGGAUUUGGUUUUUUGGUUUAAGCAAUCAUUCAGGUUAUUGAAACACUCAUGUGCCUCUUUUCUUCAGUCAUUACUAAUGUUGAGUGUUGUGUGUCUGAUAUGAGGAAAAUGGUUGAGAGUAAUUACCGGCAGGAGGAUCGCUGGGUGGUAGCUGAGUGGGAGGGUUCAGAUUAGGGAUUACGAGUAUGAAGUAGAUGUGAUAGAUUGUAACUCUUCUUGCUUGAUUAAUUCAUCUCAAGAGGUCCACUUUAUAUAUAGAGGCCUAACAAUUAAAAAACUAAUCAUCCUUACAUGCAUACAUGCAUGCGUCACUCUGGAGCCAAAAACUAAUUACGAGUAUGCAGGUUGCAGUCCCUUGCUCUACAUAUAACUCGCUAACUCUACUAAUUCAUGUAUCAGUAUAUGCAUAUAUGUAGUCCGUUCCCAGUACAUGUGUUCGGAAGACUGGACAUUUGUACUUAUUCAAAAUUUUCUUUUCAUAAAAAGUUCCUUGGAAGAGAUUGCUAAGUUUAACGAGCAAUGUCCCUUUUACAUCUACUUACAGUGUGUUUUUCUUUUGGUUUCACCACAUUUUUAGGUUUUUACAGGUUGUGUAUAGCAUAGGAGGCAUUGAGGAUGAAACAUGAAUGUCCAUUGUUCUUGUCCGCUCCUGAUCUCAGUAGACCUGUGUGAUGUGCUCUUGAUCCUUUCUCUUUUUUCUGUUAAAUGAAUCUCUGACUGAGGAGAGCAUGUUCUUUCAUUCGGUUGCAAUCGUGAAACUUCUUUUGGGUUUUCUUAUUGUACAGUACGAACAUUCCAAAUUAUUUGAUCCUGGAAAUAAGUUGCCAAUUUUCUGUGUGCAAUGAGCUGGGAGCCGGGGUCAGCCCUCUCACCACCAGUCGAACAUACAACUUCAGCCACCAUGUCAAGUGAUAUAAAAGUGUUCUCUGUUUCAUAGAGCAACGACACGAGAUUGUGUCCCCUCUUGCUCCUGGUGCAUGUUGCUGCCCUCCUUUCCCCUCUGACUUGACUUGCUUUACAUUGUGUGAAGUAGUUUACUUUCAACUUUACAACGCUAUAUCAAGUUCGCAACUGUACUUGGCUACACCUAUAACAUGAUGCAUUUCUCUUACAGUUUAUUGAAUAUAUUUUUAAGGAUUGAAUGUUCUAUCUGGUACUGUCCUAUCACUCAUUUAACUAUCUUAAUUUGUUCACAAAACUCCUUCUGUAGCUAAGAUUUCUUUGUACAACACAUACUAAUUAUUGCUCUUAUUCUUAAAUCUUAUUUCACUUUAUUCAGCUGCAGGCUGGGUUAAGAUUGUUUUUGUGCCAGAAACAGGCUAGGCAUUGCUCUAACCUUGGCAGCAAAAAUCGUCUAAAUUUCAUAAAUAAGGUAGUGGAAUAUCUUUGAAUAUGUUCAUUUAAAUAUCUUGAGUUCACCUGUAUGGGUUGCUUCUGUGCACACUUUCUUUGAUAUGACUUUCUAGGUGAGAAAUUCUUUCAUGGUAAUGAUGUAUUAUCGAUAUUUACUAUGUUUCUUAGGCCUAUAGGUUUCUUUUUGUGGGAUGCAAUUACGGUACAAUAUGAAUAUGAUCCUCGAGUUGCAUAUUAUUGCCUUUGGACAUAGACAUGUGCCAUGUAGUAUAACAUUUACAAAGAAUGUCUUGGAGAUUGCAAGUAGAUGAUUACGGUUACCCUGUAACCUUAGGAGUAAGAUAUAUAUGAUGAUAGAAUCUAGAGAUGCUUGCUAAUCUAUAACAAUAAGAUCCAGUCACGUGCAAUAUGUUUUAUUCAUAGAAACAGGGAAUCAAUCUGGCUGAAAGUAGUCAUCUUAUGGCGUGGUGUGAAGAGGUUGUUCACAAACCUCUUACGUGCUCCAUCCUUUGUCACUCUGAUUUGAUUUCCUAAUAUCUGGCUUCUCUGAACAGAUGUGUGCAGAUCUGAGAAAGAAGAGGAAUAAUCCAGCAGAACAAUUUAGUGAAUAAGAACAAGUUGGCAUUUCUCUCUUGUGAAUGCAGUCAUGCCUGCCUAUUGAUUUUAUUAUUUGUGCUAAUGCAAACAUGAAUUCUCUAUAGUUCUUGAUGCAGCACCGCUAAUUACUCAAUCUGCAAUACAUGAUUAUUUCUGGGAGAAGUUUAGUGCAUGAAUUAGCAUUCUGUAAAGUUAGUCUAAGCUCAUGUCUCUAGGCCAGGAUAGAUUUCUCAAUAUCAUUUUUGGGGUUGUUUGAACACUGAACAACAUUGCCAGGUCAACCAUUUCUCAUUUCUUUGUCAUAUCUGUAAAACAUUGACACACCAAGUUUACGGGUGGUGUCUCAAUUUUGUCACCAGCCACUUUCACCGACCCGUAAACUAUCUGUCUCGAGGUCUCCCCAACUGUGUUUGGGUUUAGAAAAACAAAGAACUAUUUUGAAGUCAUUUUCGCAUCAGCUACUUUGUAGGUAUUAUGUGCGUUGUCAGGGAUCUAAUAUCAUGUAGUUCCAGGGAUUUCAGAAGGUCUGGUCAGUCCAUUGUUCUUGCCGUGUGUUACUUUUUCUCAUUACUGUGAUCGUCAGUGCUCUUGACAUCGGUUACUUUUUCUCAUUACUGUGGUCGUCAGUGCUCUUGACAUCGGUUACUUUUUCUCAUUACUGUGAUCGUUUGUGCUCUUGACAUCGGUCGUUCUUGCUUUAUGGUUGCCUUCCCAGUGCACGUUUAUUAGUUCUAACAUAUUAAUGUUAAUAUGCUUGAUUGACCAUAUUAUAUAUUUCACUUCACCGGGGUGGUUGGUGGAAGUGUUGGUUAAAACAAUGUCUCUAAUUAACAAGUUUAUACAGUUGAAUCUUCUUGAUUGACUAUUUUGUAGCUUGCUCUUAGUUGUAUAGUAUUAAUUCUUAAAACUGGAUCUCUUAAAAUUAGUUAAAUUGAACGAGUUGUUUCACUGUUUUGAAAUAAGUAGUUUCAUCCGUCACUGUGUCCUGAAUUUAUUCUUACUGCCUUUUAUGACUUAAAUGUAACUACUGGCAUAUAAUCUCAUGGCUUAAAAUCUUAGUUGAGAAGGUAUUAAAAGUUAUAAGAUCUGGAGUUUCCACUAUUUCAUCCAGCGGUAUUCCCAGUAACUGAAUAUUAAGAGCACUGACGAUCAUAGGUUGUACAUUUAGUUACCGGGAAAUGCUUUUAUCUUGCAGGCCAGUUUUACAUUUACUUUUUCAAUAAUGAGAUGACUAUGAACAGAGUAUCAAGUUUUUUGCCUUGGCAUUACUGCUGCUGUGUACGGAUGGUUACUGAAAGAAGAAGGAUUCAAGCGGCAUACCUUCACUUGACAGAUGCUUUAACCGCAAGAACUGUUGUUAUUUUCUUUUCCUUUCCUACAUUGAUGGUAGUUCGCCUUUGAUUCUAGAAGUCGCAAAGGUGUGAAGGGUAGAGAUUUCCAUUGCCGUUGAAUUGGUGGGAUUGUCACCAAGUUAGUGUUGCAGAUUGUUUCUAUUUUAGAGCAAGAAGCCAAAUCAUGUUGUUCAUUGUAAAUCUUGAAAAACUUGUUUACUGUCACUUCUAUAUCUAUUGUAAACUUUCGUUCCUGGUGUGGUACUUACCAAUCUUGGUGUGCCCUUCCAUUGCAGCAGACCAAUAUGUCCUUGUUUCUUCAAAAAAAAAAAAAAUCUCAUUUCAAGUUUGCACCUCUAUUAUAGUAGAACAUGUCAUAAACAUGGCAUUGGG